AUACGAAGGGUGCAAGCGUUACUCGGAAUUACUGGGCGUAAAGCGUGCGUAGGUGGUUGUUUAAGUCUGUCGUGAAAGCCCUGGGCUCAACCUGGGAAUGGCGAUGGAAACUGGGCGACUAGAGUGUGGCAGAGGGUAGUGGAAUUCCUGGUGUAGCAGUGAAAUGCGUAGAGAUCAGGAGGAACAUCCGUGGCGAAGGCGACUGCCUGGGCCAACACUGACACGGAGGCACGAAAGCGUGGGGAGCAAACAGGAUUAGAUACCCUGGUAGUCCACGCCCUAAACGAUGCGAACUGGAUGUUGGGUGCAAUUUGGCACGCAGUAUCGAAGCUAACGCGUUAAGUUCGCCGCCUGGGGAGUACGGUCGCAAGACUGAAACUCAAAUGAAUUGACGGGG
rnacentral:rRNA from 1 species